AAUCUCGUAUUUAAUUACUCUCCUCGCUAUUUCCAUCAGGCAAAUCACGAUUUCACGGCCACCAGUCCUACAUUCGUCGACUAGUACAACAUCGUUCGACUCAAACAAUAUCGCCUCUGGUAUGUCGUGCCACCUACACCAGGUAUCCGCCAUCUCUUGGAUAUAAUUAGCCAGCUUACACAAGAGUGUGCCGUCUUCAAGUGCGUAGAAAAAUAACUCUGGAGUUAUGAUUAUCUCCGUGAAGAGUUUCGCAAGCCAUGCAGUCUCGUCUUCGAUCAUCGCGUAAAGUAGCUCAUUCUCCUUUUCCCAGCGUUGAAAACUUUGGACGCUGUUCGUUUUUAGCCGUCGCAAGUUGGCCCGAUUCCUCGGAGUACAUGUAACAUCUAAAGUGAGCUCAGAGCUGACGGGGGAGCCCAGGUCCAUUGUUGAUGCCUCAAAGUUCGGAUUUUCUGUGCAAUUGACAUAAAAUGAGUGUCUCCAUGCGUUCUUGGAGUUGGGAAAACUUUCCCGCUUCGUGCAAAAUACAAAUUAGCCUGAAAUCCGCGGGUUGUCUGACUGUAACGCAAAGUCAACGCAAAUGAGUGCUGGCGCUUCUGAUAGUCAUUAUCACAGUUCCCAACUGAUGAGGAAAUCUGUUUACGAAUUAAGAAGUCCACAUUCCCUCUGACAGCGAUGAAUAUCAAAACAACGUAAAAAUAACAAUCGGGUCGAUCGUGUACCGCAAGCUCAUCUCUGUGGAGCGUGAUGCUGAGUAUGAAUUGAUCACCCCGGGGAAUGCUAUAAGAGAUAAGUCAUCAACGCUAGCCAAUCAGGGUGCUUCUCAUAAAUCCCUAACUCGUCACUUGUAACGCAAUGUAUGAUUCCUGCGUGCGAGAAGACAGUGGAAAAAGUUAUCUCAACAAACAAACAAUAAUUAAACUCGCUACCGAUCGUUUCCAGCAAAAAAUGCAUUUACAAUUCGGUUAAAAUGUUUACGAGCUUUUUAAGGCAAGCUCGAGUUCUAAUUAUCAGGCAUUAUUUAUAAUUCCUGCUGAUUAGAAAAAGAUCAAAAAGGCUUUGCUAGGAUGCAUUGCCAACUUGCAAAAAUCCCAGGCAUUCAAACAAACUAAUUACUAAGACACGAAAAACUUGCGUUUUAAUGCAAUGUGUACAUUAAUCAUUAAUAAGUGCCCCUAAUGCAUUUUUGUCAAAAUACGUCGUAUAUUUUAAACCGGCGGUGAAAUGGCUUGUGCUAAAUUUAAACAUGAGCUAUAAAAUACCGGAUUCCCAAACUAUCCCCCAGAAAGGCUCAAAAGGCCAUUUUCUAAGAUUCAUUCUGUCACGGCCAUUGCAAUAACCAACGGUUAGGCGUCAGAAAUAAAUCACUUAUAGCCAUUCUAUUAUUCAGAAAGCCCUAUUUUUUAAAUACUUGGAAAGAUAAAAAAAAAAGGAUGGGUCGCCAAUACGAUACUGAGGUUUACUGCUAGAAAAGGCAACUUAUUGUAUCUUAGCCAAUAUCAGUCCAUGAGUAAUGGGAUCCGGGCCAACGCGACCAUUCAGAACUGUCAGAAUCUUCCACGGGCGGCUUCAGCCGAACUCUUACUGAAUAUAAAUCACCCCCACCUAACGAUUAAUGUUAUUAGAUAUGGUAUUAAGUGUUUUUCCACUUGAACACAAUUUUCGCAUGUGAAAGUCUGCGCGGGGAACAAGGUCGCAAUGUGGUGUUAACAAACACUCAACAAAACUGUUUUCCGGCAAAA